ACCACCAAGUCAUAGUCUUACUGCAUCUUACAAGGAGAAGACACUUUUAAUUUUAUUCCAUAUAUGUUGUAAGAUCAAUAAAUAUCUAGAAAGACCUUUGAUUGUAGCAAUCUAAGUUGUUGCCAUAACCAAUACCCAGCAUGUCACAGUAGCGUUUGUAAAAUCCAAUUCUGUCUUUAACUCUAUCAUCAGGACCAUGUCCACACUCGAGUCCACCAUUAAUGAUGUUGGUGAUGACACCAUAGCCAGGGGAUCUUCCUGCAGCAUUGUCAGCACUCGAAGGUUGCCAAUUGCCGGUAAUAACAUUAUGACAAGAUGGUUUAUUUCCUUGUGCUGUCAUCCAAAACCAUAGGGCUGUCUUGAAGGAUACAACUGCAUCUGUGGCUACCAAAUCAGGGCUGGCUAGCAACGGCGCUCCUAUUGCAUUCCCUGCUGGUCCGUAGUUGUAGUUGCUAAAAAAAGUCCAAUCAUUUUAAUACGAUGCUAGUUAACAUCAUUGAGAACUAAUUCUAAGUACAAAAACUAAUAUUGAACGAACUCUAAAAUUGAAAAAAAAAAUGAAAAUGAUGUUAAAAAAAAAAAAAAGACUCACUGGGUUAGUUGGAUUGGUCCACGACCGUAAUAUUGUUGACCAGAAGCACACGGCCAUUGCUGACUAGGUGUGCAAUAUGCUUGUUGAUUUCUCUCUCGAAUGAAACAGUAUCCCCAUGCGUAUGGGCCAUCUGGUGCAGUGGGCCAUCCUCCUACAUCAUCACAUGCGAGUUAAUUUUAAGUCUAGAGAUAAGUACUAAAAAAAAAUUAAAGAUAGUUUUACAAAACAAUAAUAAAUAAAAGAGGUCGAUAGUUUUUGAAACAAACCUGUAGUCUCGUGAGAAGUUUGACCGAAAAAAGCUGCAACCUCCCUCUUACGAGUCUCUACACUUCCCGUGUUACCGAAGGCCGGGAAGAAUCGAGCAGCAGUAAUGAAAGCAUUAUAGGUAUAGAAUCCAUUACUAGGACAUCGAGAAUCCCUACUAUAUUUGAGCAUUUGAUUGUAAAGACUUUCGCUUAUGAUACUUCCAACGCCGCUACCGCCAGAUGGCGUAGGAGUACUAGAGCCACGACACUGGCUUUGACAACCAUUUUUACAAUAGUCGUCGGUAUCACCGCAGAACCCGAACUGGCUGCAGCAGAGGUUAUUGGGGCAAAGAGCCCCAUUGGCCUGCCGCCCACAUUGCUCGGCAGCGACAACUACCAAAAGAAAGGCAAAGCAUAAGAUUACAAGUGAAUAUGUCUUCAUAUUUUUCCUUGAUGUGAUUAACAUCGAAGAUGGGGAAAGAUGAGAAGGGAAAUGAAGAUAUUUAUAGGCAAUAUUUUUGGUAGAAUUUUCAAAACAAAAAUUAAAUAAUUAAGGAAAUUAGAAAUGAUUUUGGAUUAUUAUUGUUAAAAACUUGACCACAAAACUUGUUAAUUAAUGUCACACUCCCUAAUCUUUGAAGAAUUCUCCUUAAUUGAUGGGGUGUAAAUACAUUAUAUUGAUAGGCCCCACCAUGCCUAAUUGUGAAUAAUAGCCCCUCAAAUAAUAAAAAGUUAAAUGUGUUUUGACAUUUUCAUCCAAAAUGAGUAUAUCCUAAUAAUUAUUACAAUUUUGUUACAAUGCCACUUAAAUUUCGUUCAUUAUUUGUAAAUUUUAAUCAUGCUAAGUACAUUCUCUUAAUGAUUACGAAGCUAGUGUGAAAUAUAAAUUUAGUAUAUAGUUCAAUAGUAACAAAAUAAUAUAACAAUUUGUGUGUGAUAAAUCACAAUAAAUAAAAAUAUAAUAGUUUUUUUAAUGUAUCGUGAUCCGUUCUAAAUAAAGUAUAAUAUUUUGGUUCAUUGUUAUAUUUUUGUAUUUUUAUUUAUUUUUAAAUUUUUUAUAUAUAAAAGUUUGUUUUGAAAUGGGUGUAUUAUUCAAAUGGGUAAGAAGACAAUUUCAAAAGAAUUACUCUAAGUCUUUAGCUUUACGAUUUUGAUUUUGAUUGUCUAUUUUUGUAAAAUUUGAAAUUAUAGCUAUUUAAUUCGGCCGCCUUGAAAGAAAAUUCAAUUGCUAAUUCUAUUUUUAACGUUGGUUUGAAAUCAGUUCAUCUUAUAAAUUAGGGUUAUGCCAAUGUUUAUUCAUAAAUAAGAGAAUCAUUUAAUAUUUUGAGGUUGGUUUCCCUAUUCCACCUUAUUGUUAAUAAACCAAAUGAAUGAAAAGAAAAAAAGUAGAGUAUUUUGUAGUAUUGAUUUUGAUGCACUGCAUAUUGUUUAAAAAAAUUGAUAUAUACCCAUGUAAAUAUAUAUGAAACAUAAGAAAAUUUAUACAAUUAGUCAACAAUAUGAAUAAACACAUUCAUAAUCAAUCUAAAAAAAGUUAUUAAUUAAAGAAGUGAAACAAGUUUAAUUAUCAAAUGCCCAUCGUUUGUGGUGAUUUUGGAAAAGAAAAGUAAAACUUGUCAUUGUAUUGGAUUGUAUGGAUGACGUAUAUCUAUCAUAUUUGAAUUCAAAUAAAAUAAAAUAGCUAAAUAAUUUGGUAGAACCUAAUAUUUGGAUAUUGAAAUUAAUAGUAUAAGUUUUUAUGUUUAAUUUUAAAAUUCACGAUGUCUUUUAAAACCGCAACAAGAUUACAAAAGAAUAAUUGUAGUAUCAUUAACUACGAGCUAAAAUGAAGAAAAAUGAGAAUUGUAAUGGUUCGACUCUUAAAUUAUUUACAAAUAUAUCAAAAUAUUAUAAUCUUUAACGCUAAAAGAAAAUUCAAUUUUUGGAAAUAAAAACUAAAACGACGAUGUUGUAGCCUCAUUUAUUUCUUAAAUCAAAGGAAACACGCAAAAUUAUUGUCCUUAUUUGACUUUAUAUCAUAAUAUCUAUCUAACUUAAUUCAUCUAAACCAUUUAUUUAUUUUAUAUACAACUUAACCCUAAACUAGAUUUUAUUGGUCAAUUUCUUAUCUAAAUUACAAAUAAUUUAAUUCUUAAAUUUUUCUUUCAUAUCUAAACUACAACAUCGUCAACACCAGUAAAUCCCUAAGAAGCAAAAGAAUUUGGUACACUGAAUGUGUGCAUUAUUGGAUGACAAUUUUCAAUUAACUUUAUUUUAAAAAUAUUAUAUGAUUAUAAUAGACAAAAUUUUCCCAUUUAAUACAUACACAUGCAUAUAUCAUACUAUUAUCAUAGCUUCACAAAUUCUAAUACUAACUAUAAAAAGUAAUAAUAUUAAAUGACAAAUUCUUUUUAUUUAUUUUGUAAAAUAUUUUAAUUAUUUAUUUGCCGUCGAUGAUUAAAAAAAUUUAUAAAAAUGAUUCCAUUAAUCUAAAAUGCAUCUAAAUAUUACUGUUUAAAUUGUUGGUAUAGUCAAAGUUUUGUUUUAGAAAACAUAAUUAUUUGAAUAUAUACCAUAAAUAACACAAAUACAUACAUAACAUUUUACAAUAAUCCAUAUUUGACUUUUCCAAACCCAAUUUAUUGGUUGAUUGAACAUGUAUGCAUAUCUCACUCCAAUAAAAUACAACUUCCAAAGUUAGAAUAAUUCCUUGAUAAUAUUAUAUAUUCAUUGAUUAUCACUAUGUGUGUAUUUAUGAACCAAUUCGAAAAAAUAAAAUACCAAAAUAAUUAGAAGCCAAAUCUAAUAAUUUUAGAGAUAUAAUUCCACUUUUACUUUGAAAAAGAAAGAGUAAGAGAACUUCAAUUCUCUAUUUUCUUUUCUUUUAUUUUAACAGAAAUUCAAUUUUUCUAAAUAAUUUCAAAGCUAAAUUUUAAAAUUUCUGAAAAAUUAUUACUUUGUUUUAGGAAAAGAAAUAGAAUACACUUCGACUGUUAUUUCUUACCAUUUCCAUAAAAAUAUUGCAUACAAAUUGGAAAAGGUGAAUACAUAAUUCUCCUCUUUAUUGAAAGAUACAAUGUCUAAUAACACACACACUAGUGAUCUUUUACAAUUAUAACAACAAAAAAAGACCCUUUAUUAUAUUGCAUAGUAUCAAUUAUAAGUGUAAAUAAAUGUUUUAAUUUAGAAAGACUGUUGAUUGUUGCAAUCUAAGUUACUGCCAUAGCCAAUACCCAACAUGUCGCAGUACCGUUUGUAAAAUCCAAUUCGAUCCUCAACUCUAGAGUCGGGACCAUGUCCACAUUCGAGUCCACCGUUAAUGAUGUUGGUGAUGACACCAUAGCCAGGGACUCUUCCAGCGGCAUUGUCAGUGCCCGAAGGUUGCCAAUUGCCGGUAAUAACAUUGUGACAGGAUGGUUUGUUUCCUUGUGGUGUCAUCCAAAACCAAAUGGCUGCCUUGAAUGAUAUAAUAGCAUUUGUGGCUACCAAAUCAGGGUUGCUUAGCAAAUUCAAACUUAGUGCAUUUCCUGCUGGCCCGUAGUUGUAGUUGCUGUUUAAAAGUAUACAAUUUUACGAGUUAUGAUUAAAUUUAAAACUAAAAAAUGGUGAGAUAUUUUUAUUAUUUAAAAUGGGGGCCUUCAUAUACUUACUGAGUUAGUUGCAUUGGUCCACGACCAUAAUAUUUCUGACCAGCAACACAUGGCCAUUGGUCGCUAGGUGUGCAAUACACAUCUUGAUUUAUCUCCCUUAUGAAACAAUAUCCCCACGCAUAUGGACCAUCAGGUGCAGAAGCCCAUCCUCCUACAUCACGAACAAGAUUUGUCUUUCAAGUCAACAACAAUGAAACUACAUUUAAAAAGAGAAGAUAUAAUUUCGAAACGAACCAGUAGUCUCAUGAGAAGUUUGACCAAAAAAGGCUGCAAGCUCUCUCUUACGAGUAGCGUCAUCUCCCGUGGUACCAAAGUCAGGAAAGGAUUGAGCAGCAGUAAUGAAAGCAUUAUAGGUAUAGAAUCCAUUACUAGGACAUCGAGAGUCGGUAGAAUAUUUAAGCAUUUGAUUGUAUAGGCUUUCGGUAAUGAUACUUCCUACAGUACCACUACCACCGCCAGAGGGUGGUGUAGGACUAGUCGAGCCCCGACAUUGACUUUGGCAACCAUCUUUACAAUAGGCAUCAGUGUCGCCACACCAACCGUACUGGCUACAGCAGAGGUUGUUGGGGCAUAAAGCUCCAUUAGCCUGCCGCCCACAUUGCUCGCCUGAGGUAGAUCCUAAAAGAAAUGCAAAAGCUAAGAUUAUAAGGCAGCUGCGGGACUUCAUUGUUUUUCUUUUUUUGUCUUUUGUUUGUGUAUCAAACUAGAAAAGAUGCGAUGAAAAAGAUUAAGGGAAGUGAAGAUAUUUAUAGGAUGAGAUUUUGGUGGAGUUUGAAAAGCUAAUAUUAUAAAAUAUGAAAUAGAUAUCAAAUUUGGAUUGUUUGGAAUAACUUUGAACGCAAUCUUUGUUAAUUAUUUUAAUUAUAAUGUUGGUCGUAUUGCCAAUUUGAUCAAUAUUCUUCUUUUCUUAAUCUUUGACAUUGUAAUUGAUGGGAGUGAUUGGUGAGGUCACCCCAUCCCUCAAGUUUGAAUAGUCUCACUAAGACUACUUCUACUUUAAUUUGUAGAGUAAAUCUCUUAUAGGUCAAGUCAAUAAUUAAGUACUACGUCUCUCUUUCUAUAAUUCAAUCACAAUUAACAAUUUUUAUACAUCUUUUUGGUUAUGGUAAGAGUGGAAUGUAUAACAACAAGUGCAUAUGGAAUCUAUCCGAUGCAAAGAUUAAUUGCUUAAUAUCAAUAUUUCAAUGCAUUGUAAUUACAAAGGUAAUGGUGGUAGAGACUUGCUUUUGUUAAUUAAUUAUUUAUGUGUAUUAUUAUCAUUAUUAUCAUUAUUAUUACAAGUGUAAAAGUGAGUUACCAAGUUUUAUCCAAUUAUAGGAAUUGGAUUUAAUUUUUAUUUUAACCAUAUAGUCAAAUUUAUAAUUCAACAGAAAAAAUUAAUCUACAAUAUCCUAAUUCAAUCAUAAUUUGAUAUUUUAGAAGGGUAAAAUCUUGAUUUGUUCGAUUUAUUAGAAAAAAAACUAACCGCAUUGACUCUGGCAACCGUCUUUACAAUAGGGGUCAGUGUUGCCGCACCAACCGUACUGGCUACAGCAGAGGUUGUUGGGGCAUAGAGCACCAUUGGUCUGCCGCCCACAUUGCUCGGCUGAGGCAACUCCUAAAAGAAAUGCAAAGGCUAAGAUUAUAAGGCAGCUGUGAGACUUCAUUGUUUUUCUUUUGUUUAUGUAUCAAACGAAAGAAGAUAUGAUGAAAAAAGAUUAGGAGAAGUGAAGUUAUUUAUAGGAUGACAUUUUAGUCGAAUUUGAAAAGGCUAAUAGAUAAAAAUAUGAAAUAGAUAUCAAAUUUGGAAUGUAAUUUGGAAUAACUUAACCGCAAUCUUGGUUUAUUGUUUAAUUAUAUUGUUGGUCGUCUUGCUAAUUUGAUCAAUUCUUCUUUUUUUAAUCUUUGACAUUAUAAUUGAUGGGAGUACUACUUCAUUUAACUAAAAGUGGAAGUAAUCAUAUUGACUUGCUUUAUCAAAUGCAAUACAUAUGCAUACAUAUACACAACAUAUUGAUGAUUAUGUCAUACAUAAGUAUAUAAGAUUUAGGGUUUAUGUUAUAUUUGUUAAAAGGGUUUUUUUUCUUUUCUUUCUUUUUGGUACCAUAUAUUGUAAUAAUUAUGAGGGGGACAGUAGCCCUUUAUUUACGUUUUGGUUUUUGAUAUCUUUUCAAACUUUGAUGCCUUAGAGGAAAGGAUAAGAUGAAGGAUGAUGUAGAGAUGGCUUUUCUUUUGUAGGACAAAGAAGAAUUGUGCCUUCUAUAUAUCUUCAUUUACACACCCAAUUUAAUAUAUAUAAUAUUGAUUUGUAUACUCAACUUUGAAAGGGUUUUAUCAACUAAGAUCAUGAACUAAAAAUUAUCUAUUUACAUCUUUUUUAUGUUCAAUUAAACAAUCGGGUGAAACUUAUCAUUUGAACCAAUUAAACUCCAUUAAUUUAGAUAUUUCUAGAUAAUUUAUAGAAUAUGUAUAAAAUUUUUUGAUGUAAAGAUGUAGGAUGUACUUACGGCUGUAUUAUAUUAUGGAUCUUAUAAUUGAGGGAUCCAAGAAAACAAAUUGUCUUCUCUGUUUGUAUUGUUUCAAUAAUAUAUUUUCAUUUAAAUUUAAUUAUUCAUUUCAAAACAAUAACUAAUCAUAAAUUCUUGAAAAAUUUGUUAAAUAAUAAUUAUACUUCUUGAAUAGGGUAGGAAUAUAUAAAAUAUAUAGAAUUAGCACAAAUGUCCAAAUAAUAAUCAAGACAAAAUGUCGAUGUUCAAAUUUUCAAUCCAUUUAAACAUUCGAUAUGUAAUUGAUACCCGAAAAAAAAAACAUAUUUGUCGAUCUAAAGUUUGAUUGAAUAGAUUGUUUCAUAAUCAUGUUAUCAAAUUCUUUAUAUCUUUUAACUCAUUUAAUUUAUACACACCCGUGUAUAACAAGUCUUGAGUUAAGAGUCUUUAAAAAAUGAAGCUAAAAAAUGUAUUUUAAAAAUCCAUAAGUAAAUAAAUAUAGUUUCAUAUUAUUUAUAUAAUUAAAUACUCUCUUUUGAAUAGCACGCGUUACUAAUUAGUAGUACCAAGAUGUCUUUAUAUUAGAUUAGGUUGCAAAAAUUCCAUGAUCCUAUGGAUAUGUAUUGCGCCACUUAUUCAUUCAUUGAAAUAAACAUCAUGAUAUCUUUUUUUUUAUCAUUGGGGCAAUGAAUUUGUAUUACAUUAGGGGUUUAUUUCCAUUCUACACGGGAUGGAGAAAGUUAUUUUCUUCUCUAUUUCCAUUCUACACGGGAUUGAGAAAAUUAUGUUUUUAAUUGUUUCAAAAUGUAGAGAGACUACGUGUGCAUGUCUAAAAAAUGAAUAUUAUGUUAUCAUGGACAACCGUGAAGUGAUAUAGCGAAGAGAUAAUUCAAAAUUAUGAAUUUGAAAAGAUAUAUUACAUAAGUUGAGAUAUUUAAAUCACGGCUAACAAAAUAUGUAUAAGAAAUAGUAAAUACUUUUAUCUACUUCAUCUAGUUACUUUUAAAAGGCAUCCAUGUAUCAAUUCUCAACAUGCAUAUGUACAAACACAAAGGUUAUUUUAAAAAAUUGACUAUACGAUAAACUAAAUUGUUAUAUACGUAUGGUAGACUAGACUAGAUUGUAACAACAUUUAAAAUAAAUUUUCUAUUUUAAAAAUAUUUUUUUAAAAGUAAAUUUAUAUUUUUAAGUGUGAAAAUUUGAAAGUAUCAUAAACAUAAAAAUUAAAAAAAUUGCCAUAGACGUUAUUUUAAUUGUUUAGAAAAGGUUUAAAGAUUUUGAAAGGCAUAUAUGCUAAAUUCAAUAAAUAUGAAAAUAAACAAAUAAUACACCUCCUUGCCAUAAGAAACCACUUAAUGUAUAGAGAAAAAUAUGAAAAUUUUAGGGCUCCUCAUAGAACUAAAAGUAAUGAAAAGGAAAUUCAAGAUCGAGCCUUUCCCCAAAUUCACGCACCCAUUACUGAUUGACCAACACAAAUUAAUUAAACCUAAAUUGGUCCUCGACUUCACCCUCAAUGGCCGCUGCCGGCGACGUGACGGUGAUAAUGCUGCUGUUGCACAUGUCCUUCUUUUAAUUAACUAUUAUCUAUAUUAUUAUUAUUAUUAUUAUUAUUACAAGCAAAUUCAGGUUAAAUUCACCUCACACUUUAUUCUAUGAUUAAUAAUUCAAAUUUUUAUCAAACUAUUAGAAUGAAAUUUCAUAGUUAAAUUGCCACAAACACAUGACAUGUAUAUAUUUAAUUAACGUGAGUGUUUCCAAUACACAAUAUAAGUAUAUUAGAUUAUGAACACAACCCAAGUUUAUGAUUUUAAGUUACGUAAAUUUAAAAUAUACAACUUUUGAAUAAAUAGUUUUAUUAUUUUCUUUGACUUAGACUUUCCUCGUUGGGAAAACAAAAAAAAAAUGUCAAAUAAGAUAAUAGUUCACAAACUUAAUUAGUAUAAAGUGGGAUGGACAAUGGAUUUGAUAGAAAUAAAAUCCAAAUUUUUUAUCAUAAAUUUUGACCAUCCAUAUAUAUUUAUUAUUUAUAGUAUAUUAAGUUUCUCUUUUGACAAUUUAAUUUUUAAAUUUAUUAUUAUUAUUAUGAAGUAACAUAUAGUUUUUUUUAUAGCAACGUAACGUACGGUCACAUUACUAGGAAGUUUAAUAUUGAAUGGUUUCCAUAUUCCUCCAUUAAUUAUUUAUGGAAUUAAAGGAAAGAAUCGUUUUGACCGAAUUAGAGGAAAGGAAAAAAAAAACUAAUAUUGGACCAAAUAAUAUGAAUUCUUUCGGUCGUAAUCUAACUUUAACAAGAAACAAAGGUUAAUCGAUAAAAGAAAUUUAGGGUUUAGGAUUAAAUGAUUUUUUUACUUCAAAUAAUUUGGGUAGAUUCUAACUGAUCAAAUUAGAUAAAGAUUUUGUUUAAUAAAUCUUUAUCCAAAAAAAUAGUUAUGUAUGAUAUAAAUUUAAAAUUUAGAAAUCAUAUAUUAAAACAAAUAUCUAUGAGUAUACAUGAACUAAACGAUCUCAUAUGAUUUAUAUUUAAAAGUAAUUGACUAGAUUCUUAGUGUGUAUAUCUAUGAAAUACUGAAAAUAACUUGAAUUUUUGGUUUCAUUACAAAUAAGCUAGUAGGGGUUAAAUUACAUAUAUAUUAAAAUCUAAAAAGUGUUUAGAGUGGUACCAUAAUAACUUCUACUAAUGUGUGUCACACAUGACCUAUUUAUGUGUGGGUCUUAAAAGUAAGAAAUAUCUUUCACUACUAUCUUUAAUUAUGUAUUAUUUAUUUUAUAUUAUUGUUGGUCCCUCCACUUGAAUAGCAACAUUAUAAUGGAUACAGCACCCAUCCAUUUCUUUCAAUAUUAUUUUACCCACAUCUCUUUUUAAUUUCCAAAAGUCUACUUUCAUAUAUAUAUAUAUUGAGCUAUAUCUAUUUCAAAAUAGAUUUAGACCAAAGUCUUAAAAUCAAACCAAAGUCUUAAAAUCUUUUGUUGAAAUCAAUGUAGAGAUGUAAAGGAAGAUAUGUUAUUCCUAAGAAGUGAUAUCAAGUAAUCAUAUGUCUUUGAUUUAGACCUUGUCAACGUAAACUUGGGGUAUCGAAACAAAAAGAAUAUUGGACCUCAAGUUAUUCAUUAAGCUAUAUCGAUAAGUAGUGUGUUGAUCUAGCAGAAAAAAGUGAUAGAUAGGGAUAAAAAUUGACAAUUAAAUAGAUAACCAAAAGAGUUAAUUACGAAAGUCUAUCACAUAAAGUAAAUAAUAUCAUGUACUAUUAAUAUUUUGAUAAUGUAAAAGAUAAUUCUUUUAUCAUACGUAUUUAGGAAGUUAUAAUUUUUCACAUUAGGACAAAAAAAAUAUCUUUUAGAUAAUUAAAAAUACCAGGACAUAACAAAUUUUUUAAAAGUUAAAAAAAAUUGUUAUAAAUAUUUAAAAAAAAUUGAAACUAUUUAUAAAAUAUUGUAAAAUUUUCUAAUAAACUAUAGGGUGAAUAAUUUUAUUAUAUUUUUAAAUAGUUUUAAUAUAUUGCUAUUUUUUAAAAUGCUCCAUAAAAAAAUUGUAUUUACGUACCUAUAAUCGAAAGAAAAAUACUUUAAAAUGACAAAACUACUAAAAUUAUCUAUAAAUAUAACAAAAUAUUAUAAUGCAAGGGUGAAAAUUUAAUUUUUGAAAAUGAAAUAAAAACUAAAAGUAGCAUGUUCACAAUUUGGGUAGGUUGUAGCCUCAUUUAUUUCAUAAAUCAAAGGAAAAACGCAAAAUUAUUGUCCUUAUUUAACUUUAUAUCUUAAUAUCCAUCUAACUUAGUUCAUCUAAACCAUUUAUUUAUUUUAUAUACAACUUAACCUUAAACUUCAUUUUAUAUACAACUUAACCUUAAACUUCAUUUUAUCCUGGAUUUCUUAUCUAAGUUACAAAUAAUUUAAUUUUUAAACUUUUCUUUCAUAUCUAAACUAUAAAUUUUUAUCUUAAAAAAAUUAAUACAAAAAUUGUCAAAACUAGUAAAUCUAACAAUAAAUCUAAGAUUUUCAUAUAUAAGCCAUGAAUGAAAGGUUAAAAGAGACUUAUUAAAUCCAUAAGAAGCAAAAGAAUUUGGUACAUCGAAUGUGUGCAUUAUUGGAUGACAAUUUUGAAUGAACUUUAUUUUAAAAAUAUUAUAUGAUUAUAAUAGACAAAAUUUUCCCAUUUAAUACAUACACAUGCAUAUAUCAUACUAUUAUCAUAGCUUCACAAAUUCUAAUACUAAUUAUAAAAAGUAUUAAUAUUAAAUGACAAAUUCUUUUUAUUUAUUUUGUAAAAUAUUUUAAUUAUUUAUUUGCCGUCGAUGAUAAAAUAAAAAAUUAUAAAAAUGAUUCCAUUAAUUUAAAAUACAUCUAAAUAUUACUCUUGAAAUUGUUGGUAGAGUCAAAGUUUUGUUUUAGAAAACAUAAUUAUUUGAAUAUAUACCAUAAAUAACACAAAUAAAUAAAUAACAUUUUACAAUAAUCCAUAUUUGACUUUUCCAAACCCAAUUUACUGGUUGAUUGAACAUGUAUGCAUAUCUCACUCCAACGUAAUUUUAUCCAACUUGUUGGUAAUUUAAUAGUAUAUGAAAUGGACAUGAUAUAAUAAAAUACAACUUCCAAAGUUAGAAUAAUUCCUUGAUAAUAUUAUAUUUUCAUUGAUUAUCACUAUGUGUGUAUUUAUGAACCAAUUUGAAAAAAUAAAAUACCAAAAUAAUUAGAAGCCAAAUCUAAUAAUUUUAGAGAUAUAAUUCCACUUUUAUUUUGAAAAAGAAAAGGUAAAAGGACUUCAAUUCUCUAUUUUCUUUUCUUUUAUUUUAACAGAAAUUCAAUUUUUCUAAAUAAUUUCAAAGCUAAAUUUUAAAAUUUCUGAAAAAUUAUUACUUUGUUUUAGGAAAAGAAAUAGAAUACACUUCGAGUGUUAUUUCUUACAAUUUCCAUAAAAUUGCAUACAAAUUGGAAAAGGUGAAUAUAUAAUUCUCCUCUUUAUUGAAAGAUACCAUGACUAAUAACACACACACAUACUAGUGAUCUUUUACAAUUAUAACAACAAAAAAAGACCAUUUAUUAUAUUGCAUAGUAUUAAUUAUAAGUGUAAAUAAAUGUUUUAAUUUAGAAAGACCGUUGAUUGUUGCAAUCUAAGUUUCUGCCAUAACCAAUACCCAACAUGUCGCAAUAUCGUUUGUAAAAUCCAAUUCGAUCCUCAACUCUAGAGUCGGGGCCAUGUCCACAUUCGAGUCCACCGUUAAUGAUAUUGGUGAUGACACCAUAGCCAGGGACUCUUCCGGCAGCUCUGUCGAUGCUCGAAGGUUGCCAAUUGCCGGUAAUAACAUCGUGACAGGAUGGUUUGUUUCCUUGUGGUGUCAUCCAAAACCAAAUGGCUGCCUGGAAUGAUAUAAUAGCAUCUGUGGCUACCAAAUCAGGGUUGCUUAGCAAAUCCAAACCUAGUGCAUUUCCUACUAGCCCGUAGUUGUAGUUGCUGUUUAAAAGUAUACAAUUUUACGAGUUAUGAUUAAAUUUAAAACUAAAAAAUGGUGAUAUAUUUUUAUUAUUUAAAAUGGGAGGCCUUCAUAUACUUACUGAGUUAGUUGCAUUGGUCCACGACCAUAGUAUUUCUGACCAGCAACACAUGGCCAUUGGUCGCUAGGUGUGCAAUACACAUCUUGAUUUCUCUCCCUUAUGAAACAAUAUCCCCACGCAUAUGGACCAUCAGGUGCAGAAGCCCAUCCUCCUACA
rnacentral:lncRNA from 1 species